GAUGAACGCUAGCUACAGGCUUAACACAUGCAAGUCGAGGGACCGGCGCACGGGUGAGUAACAGGUAUCCAACCUGCCCUUUACUCGGGGAUAGCCUUUCGGAAGAAAGAUUAAUACCCGAUAUAAGGGAUGGGGAUGCGUUCCAUUGGGUUGUUGGUGAGGUAACGGCUCACCAAGCCUUGGAUGGUUCGGGGUUCUGAGAGGAAAGUCCCCCACAUUGGAAUGGGGACAAGGUCCAAACCCGUACGCGAGGCAGCAGUGAGGAAUAUUGGUCAAUGCGCUGUAGCCUGACCCAGCCAAGUGGCGUGGAGGAUGAAGGCUGAUGGGUCGUAAGCUUCUUUUAUAUACGAAUAUGUAUUAUAUGAAUAAGGAUCGGCUAACUCCGUGCCAGCAGCCGCGGUAAUUA
rnacentral:rRNA from 1 species